rnacentral:rRNA from 1 species
GUCUACAGUCAUGGCACCUUGAACAUGCCCAAUCUCAUCUGAUCUCAGAAGCUAAGCAGGGUCGGGCCUGGUUAGUACUUGGGUGGGAGACUACCUAGGAACACCAGGUACUGUGGGCG